CCGUGACGUCACCGGCAUGCUCGGCUUUUGGCCGGGCCUGUGGUCCGCAAGUGUGGACGCUGCUUGGGAACCCGCCAGGGCCGAGCCGCGGUACUCCAGAAGGAGACAACAGUGAAGGGGAUGUGGAGGAGACGCUGGGGAAGAACUUUCCUGGUGGGGCCCAUGUUCCUCUGGUGCAGUUGACCUCUGGUAUCUGGAAUGGCAGAAACAAAUUAGAGAUAAGUGGGGACUACUGUACCUGCAAUAAAGCUCAUCUGCUUCACUUAUAUUUUUCAGGGUUAAAGCACAGCACUAUGAAGCUUUCCGCAACCACUGCAGCACGAGUUCGAUUCCUGGCAGGGAUGUGACCCUCGUGGUAUGCAGACCUCACUCUGUCUCUGAAUCCUGUCACCCCCCUGUACCUCUGGCAUGUACCCCA